ACUAGAGUCCCUUAACUCCAAUUUAACCACUUUUUUAGAUGUAUUAUAUUAAAUCAAAUCACUCAUGAUUAUUGGUAAUAUACUAAGAUAGCGGUCAUUGAACUGAAACUUUAAAAAACAUCUAAAAGUCAUUGAGGAUAUUUAUAUUUGAGGCCAUUUUUGCCUCAAAGGUCUCACACAAUGAGACAGCAGUGAUCUAUUCUCUCAUUAUUCUUAUUGAUCGAGUUUUGCACAUGU
rnacentral:lncRNA from 1 species